GCUCAGGACGAACGCUGGCGGCGUGCUUAACACAUGCAAGUCGAACGAUGAAGCCGCUUCGGUGGUGGAUUAGUGGCGAACGGGUGAGUAACACGUGGGCAAUCUGCCCUUCACUCUGGGACAAGCCCUGGAAACGGGGUCUAAUACCGGAUAAUACUCCUGCCUGCAUGGGUGGGGGUUGAAAGCUCCGGCGGUGAAGGAUGAGCCCGCGGCCUAUCAGCUUGUUGGUGGGGUAAUGGCCUACCAAGGCGACGACGGGUAGCCGGCCUGAGAGGGCGACCGGCCACACUGGGACUGAGACACGGCCCAGACUCCUACGGGAGGCAGCAGUGGGGAAUAUUGCACAAUGGGCGAAAGCCUGAUGCAGCGACGCCGCGUGAGGGAUGACGGCCUUCGGGUUGUAAACCUCUUUCAGCAGGGAAGAAGCGCAAGUGACGGUACCUGCAGAAGAAGCGCCGGCUAACUACGUGCCAGCAGCCGCGGUAAUACGUAGGGCGCAAGCGUUGUCCGGAAUUAUUGGGCGUAAAGAGCUCGUAGGCGGCUUGUCACGUCGGAUGUGAAAGCCCGGGGCUUAACCCCGGGUCUGCAUUCGAUACGGGCUAGCUAGAGUGUGGUAGGGGAGAUCGGAAUUCCUGGUGUAGCGGUGAAAUGCGCAGAUAUCAGGAGGAACACCGGUGGCGAAGGCGGAUCUCUGGGCCAUUACUGACGCUGAGGAGCGAAAGCGUGGGGAGCGAACAGGAUUAGAUACCCUGGUAGUCCACGCCGUAAACGUUGGGAACUA
rnacentral:rRNA from 1 species